rnacentral:rRNA from 1 species
UACGUAGGGUGCGAGUGUUAAUCGGAAUUACUGGGCGUAAAGCGUGCGCAGGCGGUGAUGUAAGACAGGUGUGAAAUCCCCGGGCUUAACCUGGGAACUGCAUUUGUGACUGCAUCGCUGGAGUGCGGCAGAGGGGGAUGGAAUUCCGCGUGUAGCAGUGAAAUGCGUAGAUAUGCGGAGGAACACCGAUGGCGAAGGCAAUCCCCUGGGCCUGCACUGACGCUCAUGCACGAAAGCGUGGGGAGCAAACAGG